rnacentral:rRNA from 1 species
UACGGAGGGUGCAAGCGUUAUCCGGAUUUACUGGGUUUAAAGGGUGCGUAGGUGGGUCUGUAAGUCAGUGGUGAAAUCUUCAAGCUUAACUUGGAAACUGCCAUUGAUACUAUAGAUCUUGAAUUAUCUGGAGGUAAGCGGAAUAUGUCAUGUAGCGGUGAAAUGCUUAGAUAUGACAUAGAACACCCAUUGCGAAGGCAGCUUACUACGGAUUGAUUGACACUGAGGCACGAAAGCGUGGGGAUCAAACAGG